rnacentral:rRNA from 1 species
CCUACGGGGGGCUGCAGUGAGGAAUAUUGGUCAAUGGACGAGAGCCUGAACCAGCCAAGUAGCGUGAAGGAUGACUGCCCUAUGGGUUGUAAACUUCUUUUAUAUGGGAAUAAAAUGUUCCACGUGUGGGAUUUUGUAUGUACCAUAUGAAUAAGGAUCGGCUAACUCCGUGCCAGCAGCCGCGGUAAUACGGAGGAUCCGAGCGUUAUCCGGAUUUAUUGGGUUUAAAGGGAGCGUAGGUGGAUUGUUAAGUCAGUUGUGAAAGUUUGCGGCUCAACCGUAAAAUUGCAGUUGAUACUGGCAGUCUUGAGUACAGGAGAGGUGGGCGGAAUUCGUGGUGUAGCGGUGAAAUGCUUAGAUAUCACGAAGAACUCCGAUUGCGAAGGCAGCUCACUGGACUGCAACUGACACUGAGGCUCGAAAGUGUGGGUAUCAAACAGGAUUAGAUACCCCAGUAGUC